AUGAAGUCUUGGCCACACAAGUUCACUUCAUUCGCACCAAAGCAGCCUCGGAGCGCGCCGACCAGCUCCUUUUCAAGGUAAGGAGUUAACCUCAGGAAAGAUUUCUGCGCGCUCUUUGUUCGUGUGCAAACCAAGGAUGAACUACGAAGUGAAAAUUAUGCUGUGUGCGUUGUGGGGAGUGCUGGGAGUCGAACAGGUGGAAGGUGUGAAAAUAGACAGUCAGCUGGCGACCAUAGUGAGUGACUGCUACGAGCGGGUGGCAGUGGGACAGCGCAUCAAGUCGUCGGAUGUGUU